rnacentral:rRNA from 1 species
AUUGAACGCUGGCGGAAUGCUUUACACAUGCAAGUCGAGCGGCAGCGCGGGGCAACCUGGCGGCGAGCGGCGAACGGGUGAGUAAUGCAUCGGAACAUGUCCAUGUCGUGGGGGAUAGCCCGGCGAAAGCCGGAUUAAUACCGCAUAUGCCCGAGAGGGGAAAGCCGGGGACCGCAAGGCCUGGCGCGAUUGGGUUGGCCGAUGUCCGAUUAGCUAGUUGGCGGGGAAGAGCCCACCAAGGCGAUGAUCGGUAGCUGGUCUGAGAGGAUGAUCAGCCACACUGGGACUGAGACACGGCCCAGACUCCUACGGGAGGCAGCAGUGGGAAUUUUGGACAAUGGGGAAACCCUGAUCCAGCCAUUCCGCGUGAGUGAAGAAGG